UUUCUCGUCAUUUUUGUUUGACGUACAGGCGUCUCUAUCGCAAAGAAUCGGUGCAUCCAAGAAAAUAGGUUGCCGAUCUGCUCAACAUGUCAAAAAAGAAAAACAAGUGGCUUGGCGAUAACGUCAGAAACUAGCGAGCAAAGAGAACGAAGACAUAUCGAUGAUUGAAUCUCGAUUCCUUUCCAUGUUGCAUCGAUGGUGGACUAUAUUUCUUUGUUCUUGAUCUUUUUUUCAGUCUAAGAAGAGAGUUCAAAUUCAGGUCUGCCCGAAGAAU